rnacentral:rRNA from 1 species
GCGGAGGGAUCAUUACCGAGUUAUACAACUCAUCAACCCUGUGAACAUACCUAAAACGUUGCCUCGGCGGGAACAGACGGCCCCGUAACACGGGCCGCCCCCGCCAGAGGACCCCCUAACUCUGUUUCUAUAAUGUUUCUUCUGAGUAAACAAGCAAAUAAAUUAAAACUUUCAACAACGGAUCUCUUGGCUCUGGCAUCGAUGAAGAACGCAGCGAAAUGCGAUAAGUAAUGUGAAUUGCAGAAUUCAGUGAAUCAUCGAAUCUUUGAACGCACAUUGCGCCCGCCAGUAUUCUGGCGGGCAUGCCUGUUCGAGCGUCAUUACAACCCUCAGGCCCCCGGGCCUGGCGUUGGGGAUCGGCGGAAGCCCCCUGCGGGCACAACGCCGUCCCCCAAAUACAGUGGCGGUCCCGCCGCAGCUUCCAUUGCGUAGUAGCUAACACCUCGCAACUGGAGAGCGGCGCGGCCACGCCGUAAAACACCCAACUUCUGAAUGUUGACCUCGAAUCAGGUAGGAAUACCCGCUGAACUUAAGCAUAUC